rnacentral:piRNA from 1 species
UCACUAUUUGGGACAGCAAGGUGGCUCA